UUCAAAGAAAACAUAGCGUUU
rnacentral:snRNA from 1 species